rnacentral:lncRNA from 1 species
GUGUGAGGUGGCAAGGAGGAGAAGGAAAAACAGAGGGAGAGGAGUAGAGAGACAGAGAUGUGUGUAACGUAAGAAAAAGAAAGUUAAAAACCCCUGUUCUAGAAGACAGUAUUUAAAAAUCACUCCCAAGGAUUGGAAUAAUUGACUUGUCAAAGGGAAGACUUGCAAAAUAUCAGGAUGUUAAUCCUCAUUGGCCUUUUCUGGAACGUCAUUCUAUUGUAUUGCUAUAAUUAAAAGAGAAA